GCUGGGCAUAGUGCUGCAUGCCUGUAAUCCCAGCAGCUCAGGAAGCUGAGGCAGGAGGAUGGUGAGUUCAAAGGCAGCCUCAGCAACAGUGAGGCUCUAAAUAAAAUACAAAAUAGGGUUGGGGAUGUGGCUCAGUGGCUGAGUGCCCCCUGAGAUAAUCCCUGGUACCCCCCUCAG
rnacentral:sRNA from 1 species